AUUCAAAGUGCACUUACAUGAAAAUCCGUGAAUGAAAAUGCUUCGUAAAAUCGUUGUUUCUGCACGAAAAUGAAUGUUUUUUACACCGUUCGACGGGAAAUUUAAUUCUCUUCAAGAAAUGUUCUAUUCAAAAUUUACGUAAAUGCACUCAUUUCUAUUAAAAAGUCGAAAAACUGAAUUUCUCCCAUAUAACCAAUGCAUUUGAUCCCCUCUAUACGUCACACAGUAGCCGGCGAUGGUAGCGAUCCUAGUGAGCGCGAAAGUGUCAAUUGAUAAGGAACAGUGAUGUGCAGAUUCGAGUCUGGGACAUCUGGGUUUUAUUUCACAAUCACAAUUAGAUAAGUAUUUGUCAACGUCUUUCUUGGUGUGUUUCUGCGUGAAUUUUUUGUCUGCUAUGGUGUGUUAUUUCAGUUUUUCAAAGUCCAUAGAUGUGAAGUGGAAACUAGUGUUUAGUGUAGUGUGUAUUGUUCAGUUCGAUUCAAAUUUGAGUUUAGUUUUUAGAUCAACGCUUUUUUAAAAUGUGUUUGGUUCGGAGAAUUAUUUUGUGUCAAGUUCGCGUAAUAUUGUUAUUAGUGCAUUCUCAAUGAUUUGCAUAUGUCUAUGCAAGUUUAGUUCUUUCCAGAAUUUUGAAUUUUGCAGAAAGUUUUUUAGUUCAUUAAACAUCCGAUAGAUGCCAGCCACUCCGCGCGAAAGUGUCAAUAAGUACAUAUUAUUCCAGGAAAUCAUAUCACGUGAUACAUGUCUGUAGAAGUGUUUCUAGGAAAUUCGGUACUACGAGCAUCUUUAUCAGAAAUGCCAAACAAACAUGCCGCAUUACCACCGAUAAUCGCAAAGACUGCAGUUUUUUAAAAAAUGUCUACGGGAGCACAAGAUUUUGAGCACACUUUUUCAAUUAAACGGCCGCUUUGAUGUUUUUGUUCAUAGUGCCGCAUAAUUUACUGGCGCUUCUGAAAAAAACGAUCUUAUCUCCGAUUUAUUUUGCCCAUACCGGGUAUUCUAAUACUUAAGCGGAAAAAUUUGUAGGUACAUAUGUAAGAAGAUACAAACUGGGUCCAUCCCAGCACACUUCAUUCCAUUAACCGAAUUAUUUUAUUACAUCCGCAAUUCUAAUAAGCAGGACUUACUGUAGCAUAUUUUCACCAAAUUACGUUUCCGAGCCUCACCAUCUUCCAGAUCCACAAUUUAGGGAGCAAGGCACUACGCAAAGGGGUGAAGGGGGACGAUGGUUUCAAUGGUAAAAAUAGAAAGUGCUAAUCAAUAUAUUACAGCAAACACCAUAUGUGACGUGCUCUACAAGAAUCGACCUUAGGCUUAGGUAAAAAAAUGUGUUUUGAGAAACAUGCAUUUAAAGUUUUGAAGUGUGUUUUCGCCUUAUUUUCGGGUAGGUAUGCAACAGAAACGUCUCCAGUAGUUUCGUCUAGGUCCCCUUUAGCUCUGUGACUGUUCGUGUAAACCAGUCAUAACCGCGGGUUUCCUAUGCUGCCACGCUAGCCGCGUGGCGCAGCUGAUGGACUAUCACACGGGAGGUACUGGGUUCAAAUCCCCCCUCAGCCAACAAUUUUUUUAAAUUUUUUUCAGUUGUUUUUUUUUCAUUUUAAUAUUUUUUCAAGCAGAUUUUUCACUGAAAAUGAAAUUUAUUCUACUUUUUCUUCUUUUAAAUAAUUAAUGAAUUAACAAGUUUUUAUGAAGAGAAAUACACGAAUGGGGCUUGAUAAGUGUUUGUAUGCAAAUUAGGUUAUUUUUUAAUGCCAAAAUCAUAAAAAAUAAAAAAAAUUAAUUUUGAGUUGAUUUUGGCCCUACCCCUCAACUUUGGGGUCGAUUUCCGAGGAAAGUAAAAGAGAUAGGAAGUUGUGGUUUGCGCCAUUGGAAAGAGCGUCUUUUUUUCUAUAAUAAUCGCUCAUUAACUUGAAAACCCUUUUUUUGACCUAAGGUCGAUUCUCAUAGAGCACGUCACAUAUUUGUAUUUGAUAUCUGAUUAAAAUUCGACCCACAGGAAUUGUUCCAAAAUUGUAAGCCUACUACCCCCCCCCCCCCCGUAGGUGGGACGAUCCUCAGUGGCUACCGGUCUGAAAAACUUCGUUUUGGCCCUAAAAUUCAUCAUACCAAAAUUCAUGCUUCUUUCAUCAAAUUCCAUUUUUUUAAAUUUAUUGCCACUUCGCCAUACUCUUCUUUUCAUUUUAAGAAACACCACAUUCCAGUUUUUAAAAAAUACUACAGCUAUGAAUGCAAGUACAUAACAGAGAAAUGCUUUGUAGCUUGAAUUUUCAAAAAUUCACCAAAAAUUGAAAAUAAUAUAUUUUUUCCACUAGUGUAAUCUUUUUUUCAAUGUUGAUACCUACAUAUUACUGUUCAAGAUUGAUGAAAACGAAAAAGCAAACAAACUUCUGGUAAAAACAAAAAUACCUGCAGGUGAAUCAAACUUCUCUAUGAUUCAACACGUCGUAUGUCGUAGCCUCUCGUGUUACAAAUGGUAAAAUGAUUUGACUAAAAUUACAAAUCAACGGUGACAAAGUGAUUUGUCGUACGAGUACACGUGGAGAAAGAGCUACCAUCAUAGGAUUCUACGUACGUACAUAUUUCGAAGUUCCCGCCGUAAAGCACCCAAACAUACGAACGUAAUAGGCGUAUGCAAGAAGUAGCUGGGCGAGGGAUGAACAAAUUGUAGGCGCGGGUGAAACUGGUCGGUCGCGUCAUAUUUGAAAUUUAUUUCACCAUUACGUUGAAAUUUAUACCGGCGCGUUGAUGGAUGCAAUAUUAUUUCCAUUAGCUACUCCGAAACCAUUUGUCUUUACCCCGAAAUGCAAAUGAAAAGAAAAAAACCCCUGCAAGACCACCGUGAUCGUCUGUGUGCUUGGUCUAGUUUUAGUUUUAAUGUAGGCUACAGCCAAGUAUGGAGUUUCACCCUGGUGUGGCGCAGAUUCGGCCAUCUAUACAAUAUUUUUAUUAUUAAAAUUAAUUUUAAACGGUCGUAUAAUUUUUUUCAUCGGAGUUUUAUCGUCUCGGUCGUUUUGCUCUGCUCGUAUUACCAAUGUCUUUAUUAUUAUAUAGAUCCACAAGUGAGAAGAACGCGAGUAUUAUGUCCAUGUAUAGUGUAAAAGAAACCCGAGCCUUUUUGUUACGCCCCGUUUGGGCGAAAUUUUUAUGAAUCUGUUAGAAUUUACGAUUUUCAAGGUUCCUCUCAUAUUAUGUCACAAGAUAUCUGUAUCGCAGUUAAUUACACCUCCAGUAUGUGUGUGAAGUUAUACUACCACUAAAAAGAGUAAUUUUUAAAAAUAUCAAUAAACGAGGGUAGAAAAACUAUAGAGAAACGAAUCCCAUUGAUAUUUUUUUUGCCUCGAAGUGAUAAGGUACUUAAAAGAUUAUUGUACUAUUUUGGGAAUUAUUAAUCCUUACGGAUCAGUUUUUCCAAAUCCAAUAAAAAAUCCUCGACACGCGCCAAUAAAAUUCAACGUUAUAGUUUCCGGUUAAAAAUGACCUCCCGCUUUUGGGUAUAUAUUUUUGGCGUUUUUUUUCUCUCGCUUUCGCUACACUAUAAGUUGGGUUUUCGUGAUCAUUGUGUUCGAAACUGAGAAAAUAAGUAUACAGUUACAAGGACGAAUAUAUAUUUCAUCUCGUACGCGGACCAAAAACUAAAUUAAAAAUCGUCAUCGAUAAAGAGCGUAAAAAAUGGCGAGUUGAAGUGAAAUAUUUCUAAAUAGCCGAUAUAUCGUACAUACGAUACAAAAUCGACCUCCUAUGGACUUCACGGGACACUUUUUUUCUCUACAUUCUAUGUUCGACUUUGUACGUGGUGAAGAGCGAUUCUUUUCUAUAUCUUUUAAAACCUAAUCCCGAGAUUUAUGGCCUGUAAAAAAACGAGUUGCAUUUAGCCGCGCGUUUAAUUUUCUAUUAAUAAUUUAUAUUAUAUGUCGGUUUUAUUGCUCGCCUUUUUACCCUACCCCCUUUUCUCUUUUUUCCUUUCGGACUCUUUACGCCAGAAUUGUAUAAUUCCCUUGUUUCUUUUUUUCCCUCAGUCUGCGUUGCCCAAAUCGCGAUUUUUUUUUCACCAUAUCGUGCGAAGUUAUUUAUUUUACUGUAUUUCCUCGCUGUAUCUAUCGCCGAAUAGACUUCAUGUAAUGGACUAUCGAUUUAUACUACGACCAAAUUUCAAGUUUGGAAAUUUUUUCUCCUAUUUGGCCAAAGCGAUAUGAAAUGUACGAGUACAUUAGAAGGGAUUAUUAUACGUUGAUGAAGAAAACACUUACUCUGGACACUAUUUCUUUCUUUUUUGACUUGUUUGUAGGCGAAUUUUCCCAUAGAGGGAUGGGUUAUCGAAUAACACACGAGGUUAGAAUCAAAAAACACUUUUAUUGAAUUAAAAUUUUGAACAGAUUAAGAUUCUUCAACUAAGCUGAAUUAAAGUUCACAGUAAAAAUAAAAUAAGAUAAAGAGAAAAAAUAAAAUGAAAAACGAAAAUCGAUAAAUUUAAUAAUAGGUAUUGAAAUGGAAUAAAAAAAAUAAAAACUUAAAUUCAAUAAAAUUUAAAUAAAAUAAAAAUCAAUAAAAUUCAGAUAAGAAUCAAUAAAAUUUCAGAGAAGAGGUGGAGGAAAAAAAGUAAAAAAAAAUAAAAUAAAUAACUACCAAAAUGAAAUGAAAUAAAACAAACAUAAAAAAAUAAAUAAAAUUCAGCGAAAAAUCGAUAAUUAAUUGAUAUAAAAUUAUCGAUUAUAAUGAUCGUAGUUUUUUUUAUUACCAAGUCAUCACAUCUUCGAAGGGUAAUUGAGUUUCACCUCUUGAUGGGCAAGGCGCGGUGGGAGACGAUCUUCAUCGUUCAUAUACUCCAUCCUUUCUUCUUGAUGGGUAAUGGCAAUGGCAUUAAUAUGGGAUUCGAAAUAACUGUAACAGCAACAGCGUAUAUCGUGUAUUUUAUGUUUAUGAAGUGUUCUAAUAUGCAUGGUGCAUGUACUCCCCUUCCCUUCCCCUCCUUUCCUGCUCUUGGUGGUGUAAGUGGCGUCUUUUUACAAAAUAAAUUUGCCCAGCCAACAAUUUUUUGUGGGAAAUUGUCGAGGGUGAUCCCCUGAAUAAUCGUUGAGAGUUACCACCCCCUACCCCGCUUGCUAAUUCUUUAUGGGGGGCUGAACCAUCCAGAAAUGGGGUUUUCGCGAAUUCCUUCUCGAUGAUUCAUCGUAUAUUUGAAUACCUGAUGCUUAGAUAUCGGAUUUUUAUGUGCUAAAAAACUUAAUUUAUGUACAUAAAAUAUGUGUUUGAAGUGUUCGAAAUAUGUGAAAUUAUGUGCUCAUAGAGCCAAAAUAAUAUAUGUGCUAACCUGAAAACAAUAAUAUGGGUGUUGCUGGAAAGAGAAUUUUGAGGAGAAUAACUUGGUAAAAUGAUAAAAAUGUGAUAAAUCUUUAUUUCAAAUGCACAAAUCACAUUAAUUCACAUUGAUAAAUUUAAUUUUUUCAAAUUUUUUUCGAAUUUUUUAUGUCAAACAUAGAAAAAUCAAUGAAGAAAGAACAAAAACCAUCAAAAAAUUCUAGAUUUUGCGUAUUUUCUUCAAAAUAUGUGUUAAAAAGAGGAAAAUGACCGAAAUUAUGUGCUUAAAAUUGCUAAUAGGUAUGUAUUUCAACCUGAAAUAUGUAAAAUAUAUAAAAGAUAUUGGGCUCAUUUUACAGGAAAUUUUCCAAAUCGAAAAGAUAUUAUUGAUAUGUGCUAUCUCUUUACAAAUAGGAAAAUAUGUAAAACAUAAAAAUCCGGUCUCUACUGAUGCUAGUGCCGUCAGUCAAGCUGAAGAUGGUGAAAAAAAUUACUUACUCAUGAAGCAACAAUUAUACAAAUCUCUUCCACAAGUUUUUGGUGUACAUAUUAUUCGGAUUUUCGAGUGGCUAUUUUGAGAUUAAAUCAUAAAUUAAAUCACGCGAAUGAAUAACUGAUUUUACUCUAUUUGCAGUAUUGAAAGGGGUGUAUGGAUUUUCAAAAAUCCAAUUUUUAACCAUGCAUUUUGGCAUGAUUUUUUGAGACGAGCAAAAAAUAGUUCUUUCACAAAACUGAAGAAGUAAAACGCAACCAGUGUUACCGAAGAAAACGAGGUUGAAAAAUUAAAAACACUUUUUAUUGAAAAACUGAAUAUCACAAAUAGCUGGUUAAAAAUUAUACUGAUUGAACUAGAACUGAAUUAAAAACUGAACUGACUAAAAAGAUGAAAAGAGUUACUAUUUAUACUAAAAUUUAAAUUGAACUUUGAUUGGAAAAAAAUUAAGUAAAAUCAUGAAAUAAGAUGAAAUCGGAAGUUAAAAUUACCUAAGUAAAAUUAUGAAAUAAGAUCAAAGUUUAAAAAUCUAACAUAACAUAAUGUAAUAAAAUGAUGCGUAAUAUAAUGUAAUUCUACUGUAACAUUCCCUCCGGGGUAUUAAAAAAAAAUUUUUGUUUUAAAAUAAAAAAAAAAUUUUUUGAAACGAAAAUAAAAUUGAAACAAUUUGAAAAUAAAAGAA